UUUUUUUUUUUUUUUUUUUUUUUUUUUGCAGCUGAUAUCCAAUGGUAAGAAUGGGGGGUAGAAAUAUUUAAAAUGAGCCACACAUUGGAAAAUGUUUGCUGAUUAUUAAGCUUACAUGCAAUGAGCAGUCUCCAGUUCUUUGGAGGUCACCUGUUACUGCUGACUUCCAAUAUAAUCCCUCUCAACAGAAAAAGCAGCAUUUUCCUGAAAUAGAUAAUAUAUCAAAAUAUGCAUAAUGACUAUAUUUUCCCUUUAAAUGCAAGUGUGUAGAAAUGGCAGAGGAGAGAGAAAUGAUUGUUUAACAGUAGCCAUUUAUAGGCUCAUCUCAAAGAGCAAAUGCAAAAUAAAGUUGAGAGUAUUCAUAAAGUCAAAAUUGGCUCUUAUACAUCAAGUAUGCUUUUUAUACAAAGCAAUGUUUUUGCCAUGUAGGGAAAAUUUCCACACCGCAAGAAGCAGCAAAUUGUAUGGUAUUUUUUCUCCUAUAUAAAUAAGUGUAAGUGUCUACAUCUUUUUCAAAUACUCUUAAGUUUCUGAUUUCCUUUAAAGAAGUUUUCCACUUGAGAAAUACCUAAAAACUCUGACCUUUGGCAAGGUCUUAAGACCAAUUUACCACAGUCCUGGAAAUAACAGCUGGCUCAGUCAAUUUUGGGUAAGUAGAAAUAGUUUUUAAAAAAAUGCUAUAGUUCUUGGUCCAAAUGCAAUAAUUUGGUCUUCUUCCUGGGUCAGUUCUGGUUUCAAAAACAUAACCUGUACAUCGAUAAUACUAUGAUUCUACUACUUUAGCUCUUCGAAACAAUGCCACUUAAAAUAUACACCAGUUUCAGUGUGCUUAAACAAAUAUGUCAUUCCCAGUCUAGAAUUAGACCACCAUAAACACUUACCAGUUAUGUUGUUAGGAGAGAAAGUCCAUUUUCUAAUAUCUCCAGAAAGUCUUGAUUGUAAUAUAGGCCAUGGGUACAGCAAUGAUGACAGAAUUCUAAGAAAUCUUGCACAUGUGUAUAAUUUCUAGCCAAAACAAUCCGCAUAAAUGGCUGAUUGCAUAAACAAACCAUACCAUUUAGUUUAACCAAAAGCUGUGGCAGGAAUAUUCUCAAAGCCACUCAUUGCUGUAUGGUCAGACGGUUUUCAUGCCCCUCUGCUCCAUACAGAAACUCAAAUGGCUCAGCAAAUAUUGACUGAAUUAUAAUUCUGAGAUCAUUAAUCUCUUUCUUUCCAUAUUUGAGGUUUGUGUCUUACUACCAAUUUCACAAAAUUAAAGUGACUAAAGAAGUUUAAUCAGCAAAUAAUCCACCUACAAUAAAAGAGAUCCUGGAAGAUAAAUUCACAGACCUGUUCCAGGUGUUAGAUGCUGAGAACAAUGGAUAAGCUGAAAUCCUGGCUAUAAAUGAAACCUACUUAACCACUGAUGACCACCUUUGAGGAAGUACAGAGAGCAGAAGAAUUGUACAUAAAUUAUUGGCUAAGAUUGAAAUAGGAAAGUAAUGCUAACGUGGAGGGCAGGUGUGUUGAGUCUCUGCAUAUUGCAUCAAACUCAUCUGCAAUGUUAACCCUCCUGGACAGCAGCAAGGUCUCAAGGUCAUCAUGCAGCUCAAAGUGUUAUGGGUCUUCAAGAUAAAUCAAGCCCCUGUUUCUCAGCUUGCAUCCAGAAAUGCCAUUCAAGGGUACAAGGCAGAACUAGGUAAUACAGAACAUAAUUCCUUUAUUCUUCACCUAUUUCUUUUUAUUCUCUUUUUUUUAUGGAGUCUUAUUAUUUAGAAGACCUACUUGCACAAAACCUGUACUCCACUCAGCACAUUUUUAACAUUGUCAACGUCCCUUUGACUCUCAAUGAUAAAACACAUCAGACGUUUCUCCACUCGUUUCCUUUUACAGAGACCAUUAAUACAGAAAUACCCCCUCUUCUUGUACUAUGAGAUGACAAAUGGCUGCCUGGAGAUGUUUGAAAUAUUGCCAAAUCUCUUCCAUGUAUCAUGUGUCACCAGCGAUAAUAAACAGUGACUAAUCUUUGGUCAUGAACUGUAUUUAUGGCUUUCUUAUCAUCAGGAGGUAAGUAUUUUCUUGAACCAGGUUUAAGGUUCUAAUAUUUAUACUAGAAACAUAUGUGCUAGGAUAACUGUGCUAGGUUCAAAGGAAAUUAAUCCUUGUUUUUCUUUCAUUGCACUCUUUAUGGAGCUUGGCAUUUUCAUCUGUGUCUACCUCUUUUUGCAUUAGGAUUCACCCAGGAGUGUUCUGAUCAGGAAAUAAUCAGUCAAUUCACCAUUUUGGUGACACCAGAGUCCUUGGACAACAGGAAAAAUAACAGGGAAAGAAACAUGGCCACAAUGCAAACUUAUCCCAGUUAAAGAUUCUCAGGGGUCCAAAGGAAGCACGGGGAAAUUGCUCCAUUUUCUAAAUCCGACCCAGGAUAGACGGCUCAAAGUCUACCCAAGAAACACCAGACUAUUCAACAAAUGGAAGCCAAAUUAAGGCUUUCAGGGGAAAGAAAUAGGGUCAAUCAUGGUGAAAUUCUACUUUAAUUCAAUUUAACUAAUAUUUAUAAGGUACAUUCCAGACACUAGAGUAGGUGCAUGAGAGAUACCAGUCAAAACCAACAAAAAUCACUGCCAUCAUGUAGCUUAUGUCCUAAUGAAAGGAGACAGGCUAUAAGUAAGAAUAAAUUAUAUAAUUUAUUAGAAGGUGGAAAGUAUCUUUGGGGGGGUAUUAAAUCAGGGAAUGGAACCAGAAAGUGUGGGCAGGAGUUGUAUUUUCAGAAGGCUGGUCAGCAAAGGUCUUAUUGAGAAGAUGAUAUUUGAACAAAGAUUUGAAGGUAAGAAAGCAAGUCAGGUGGAUUCAUGGAAGAUGAAUCUCUCAGAGAAAACAGCAAGUGCAAAGGCCCUGAUGUUGAUGGAACUCUGAAGCAGCCAGAGUGGGCUACAGUAGAGUAAAAUGGAUGAGGAAGGAAACACAAGGAAAUGAGGUCUGGGAGGUCGUGGUUGGCUGACUCUGCAGGAAACAGGGAGGCACUGGAGGAUUUCCAGUUGAAGAGCAAAAUGAUUUAACUUAAACUUUAUUGUAAAGAGACUAUAGGGGGCAAAGGUGGAAGUAAAGAAAUCAAUUACAUAAAUUAAAAUUAAUAGUUCAACUGUCUUCUCUGUGUAAGCUUAAUGAAUAUGAUCCAGAAGUUAAUGAUAAGAGUUCAAAAUCAGAUGCAGACACAUUGAAGUUGUAGCCAAACAAAGCUAAGACUGGCUGGAAGAGAGAAUCCAAUAAAACUCAAUUCAUGUCCACAGCAUCAAAUGGUAAGUCUGAAUAUAUUUUUAACUAAGGUUAUGGAUCUAUGAUAAAAAAUAAGGACUAAGGUUUCGGAAUGUCAAGCAUCUGUUGCUAAAGAAUAUAUUUAAAAUGUCCUUUUGAACAUUGGGUUGUGGAAUUAAGCAAGCACGUCCUAUCAUAUGGAGAUGGUCUUCUCAGGUACAUUUCAGUCCUUUGCUUCUUGGGAGUUGAAAGCUGAGGAAACCCGGCCGGCGCCACGGCUCACUAGGCUAAUCCUCCACCUUGCAGCGCCGGCACACCGGGUUCUAGUCCUGGUCGGAGCGCUGGAUUCUGUCCCGGUUGCCCCUCUUCCAGGCCAGCUCUCUGCUGUGGCCAGGGAGUGCAGUGGAGGAUGGCCCAAGUGCUUGGGCCCUGCACCCCAUGGGAGACCAGGAGAAGCACCUGGCUCCUGCCAUCGGAUCAGCGCGGUGCGCCAGCUGCAGCGCGCUGGCCGUGGCGGCCAUUGGAGGGUGAACCAACGGCAAAGGAAGCCCUUUGUCUCUGUCUCUCUCUCUCUCA